rnacentral:rRNA from 1 species
UACGAAGGGAGCUAGCGUUGUUCGGAAUCACUGGGCGUAAAGCGCACGUAGGCGGAUGUGUCAGUCAGGGGUGAAAUCCCGGAGCUCAACUUCGGAACUGCCCUUGAUACAGCACGUCUUGAGUCCGGAAGAGGUGGGUGGAAUUCCUAGUGUAGAGGUGAAAUUCGUAGAUAUUAGGAAGGACACCGGUGGCGAAGGCGGCCCACUGGUCCGGUACUGACGCUGAGGUGCGAAAGCGUGGGGAGCAAACAGG